UAUAACUCUGGAUCACCAUAGGAUAUGGUUCAACUGUCAAUUCCUAAUAGGCAAUCAACUAUGUGUUCACGUCAAAUAUAAUCGACCAGUGAAUGACCUAAGAAACUCAUUUCUUCUUUCAUUCAUUUGCCCUGUCCAAGGUCUUAGUUUGGUCGUUUAUAAUUCAUGACAAAAUGGAGCUUAAACUCAUUACCAAGAGUUGACAGAUUCCGUCUUGAUCAAUCACUAAUUCUACAAGUAUUUAAUCGUACCCAAUAUCCUU
rnacentral:lncRNA from 1 species